rnacentral:rRNA from 1 species
GACGAACGCUGGCGGCGUGCUUAACACAUGCAAGUCGAACGGAAAGGCCCUGCUUUUGUGGGGUGCUCGAGUGGCGAACGGGUGAGUAACACGUGAGUAACCUGCCCUUGACUUUGGGAUAACUUCAGGAAACUGGGGCUAAUACCGGAUAGGAGCUCCUGCGGCAUGGUGGGGGUGGGAAAGUUUCGGCGGUUGGGGAUGGACUCGCGGCUUAUCAGCUUGUUGGUGGGGUAGUGGCUUACCAAGGCUUUGACGGGUAGCCGGCCUGAGAGGGUGACCGGCCACAUUGGGACUGAGAUACGGCCCAGACUCCUACGGGAGGCAGCAGUGGGGAAUAUUGCACAAUGGGCGGAAGCCUGAUGCAGCAACGCCGCGUGCGGGAUGACGGCCUUCGGGUUGUAAACCGCUUUCGCCUGUGACGAAGCGUGAGUGACGGUAAUGGGUAAAGAAGCACCGGCUAACUACGUG